rnacentral:lncRNA from 1 species
UCUGGGCCGUUACACAAGAGGGGGGACCACACACCAUACACACACACACAGACAUAAACAUAUACACUGACACACAUGAACAUGACACAUUUACACUGACACAUAAACAUGACACAUAUACAUUGACACACACACACACACACACAUGACAUAGUUUUACACAAACACACAUAUACAUUAAAACACUCAGACAAGCCUUCCAUAUGCAUAUGCACUCCCAUACAAUAUGCAUUCACACUAAUGAACAUAAACUCUCGUACACAGAUUAUUUCACACAAACACAUGAAUAGUGCCUUUAACUACGACGAUGCCAUCAACGCCUGAAGACUGCCCACCUUCAGGAAGACUUAAACCCAGCUUUAGAGACACUCGGAGCCAAGAUCCGUCUCCGCCAUGACAUAAUACUACUCUGAUGCGUCUGGGCUUGAGCGCACUCGAAAACGGGAGAUGUCUGGAAAUCCACUUGAAUGAAGGAGUUGAGGAGUUAGGGCUUCACGUCCCUCCAUAUCACCACUAAUAACACCUGACGGUCCUUGCUGCACAUCUGAAUAACACCCGCCUCGACGUGAAGCGUAGCCCCCGCGCCCCUUCUUCCUGUUUGUGGAGCCCCUUGCGAACAGUGGUCCAGACACACCGUGAAACAUUGGUCUCCUGUCAAUGAGGCACCGAUCGAGAUCUGUCACGAAACAGCGGCCAAAACCUAUCCUGAAAAUUAAUCAAGAGUUAUCGUUCUCCAUUGUGCAUAUCAGCCCAGACGUGUAGUGAAUGUCGGACCAGACCCGUUCGAACAUCUAUACGGACCAAUCGUGAUGACUAACCCAAGCUCGCCACGAACAUUUUUUUUUUCAAAACCAUUUUCUCCAAUGAUCCAGACUCGUUGAACGUUUCAUCGUCUUCAACAACCCAGCAAAAGUCGCCAACGGAAGAUCUCUAAAUCCCAAUCAUACUGAAAGCCAGAGAUCCCAUCCGGAAUGCAGAACUUCCGAUGAUGCACCAUUUUCUUGUUACAUGACCGUAUUUCAACAAAAAACACAUGAAAUCUACGAGGACUCCGGCAGAUAACACCAUCUUGCUCUUCAGUUCAAAAGCACAUCCUGGAACGCGAAGUAGAAAGGAACAGCACGACCUGGUGACAUAUAGACAUAUUGGAAAAUAUUGAUAUAUUGGAAAAUGUGUUGAAUAGGAAUUCAACUCUCAACCUGUUCUCGGUGUCAUGUCAGAGAGAAGUAGAAGGUGCACUCCGGCUCCCGACAACGUUUGGCAAUUACUGUUAUCGUCAGGAGGAAGUGAAAGAUUCACUGCGGCUCUUGGCAACGUAUUGGCAAUUACGGACUUGUCUGGGGGAAGUGAGAUCUCUACAGAACUUCCGACUUCACACUGAUAAUCACAGUUCAUUUCUGAAAAUAAGUGAAACCAUCCUUACAUCACCUAAAACAUGUUGGCAAUGCCCGAUAUGCCAGGAGCAAGUGCAGAAUGGAGGAGCCACUGAAGGCUUGCCAUGGCCCCAGGUGGUCCGCUAAGAAGAGUUGCCAGGCACUUGUGACAGUGAAUAACCAGCAUGUGUUUGUGUGAUCACGGUUGUUGACAACAUCAGCAUUGAUUUCAAAACACUAUUUUGGUAGACAUAUCAACAUCACAAAAGUAAAGCUAAAAAAAUCGGAGGGCAGUCUUAGAAUCAUGACUGCAAUGAGGGACAGAAUAUUUUCAAUAUUGCGAAAAGAGUGACCUGUUUUUUUUAAGCAUUGUUAAUAACAAAAUUUCAUCUAAUCCUAUAGGCCUAAUUAUUUUCGCCAUUGAUGUCACCAUCGUUAUCUAAUUAUUAUAUAUCUUUUUACAAGUGCGAUGCGAAAUCGUAAUAGGAAUUAGCGCGAGUCCAUCUAUGUCAUGAGAAACCAUCUUGUGUAGGCAUUCUUUGCGCGUCUCAUCGCAUAAUAGCCGUGCCAUCUGAGUUCUUGGAGCGAAGUGCAAGUUAUUUGGCUCGGACGUGAGGGUCGCCAAGGCUGCUGUCGCAUCUACCGUGGCCCCUCGGAUUAUCCAAGGUGAUGUAUGAUCCGAGUAACAGCGGAUCAGACGUUGAAUGCAAGACCGAGCUAGAUCCUAACUUUGGGUUGUUGGUGACAGCUAAGCGUUCUGUUACCAACCAUAGGUGUUGACGAUACAGCCAAAGGACUAUCAGUCGUUUAUGUUCGGAAUGUUUUAGUUUGAGAAACACCCUGAUUGACUUUCGUCUGUAUUGUACUCUUUUUACCGAUUUGGACAAUCGUGGAGUUGAGAAUUUUUCGAUAACAACUUUAAAAUCGUUUGUCUAGAUAAGGCCAUCCAAUCGCAUUUGUUAAAGUUCUCCUCCAUCCAUCGAUAUAUGACGCUGGGCCUUGAGAAAAGCAUGAUAAAACUGACUUCUUUUCACUUGACUAAGACUCGGAAUGUUAAUGCGAGUGCCUGUGUGUAAAUAUUACGGCGCUUCGAGGAAGAAGUUUGUUUUCCUUCUCUCGUGGCGUCGGUGAUCACACGUGAACUGUCUGUGGCGUGCAGUGUUGCGAUGGCUUUGAGUUCCCAGCAUGUAAUUCACAAUGGCGUGUGUAUUUAUGAUUUGCAACAGUGCACUUCACUCCGGCCAAUGAGUCCUCUGAAGGGUUGGAAAUAUAACAUGCUGCCACCUGACCAAUCAGAGAACUCCCUGGCCUCUUGGGACAAGUGCUUCCUUCCUAUUGGUUCCUUCAGUGCCACCUGAACCAAUAGGUGGAACCUUUGUUCUUGUUCCGUGUGAGAUGUGUGAUCCGGAAUGUUGAGUUUAUUGUGGCAUGGUUGAUGUGAAUUAUUGGAUUGACUUAAUAAAUAAAACCACCCA